UACGGAGGGUGCGAGCGUUGUCCGGAAUCACUGGGCGUAAAGGGCGCGUAGGCGGCGCGGGAAGUCCGUGGUGAAAGCCCGAGGCUCAACUUCGGGUCGGCCAUGGAUACUCCUGGGCUUGAGCACUGUAGAGGCAGGUGGAAUUCCGGGUGUAGCGGUGGAAUGCGUAGAGAUCCGGAAGAACACCGGUGGCGAAGGCGGCCCGCUGGGGUGGAGCUGACGCUGAGGCGCGACAGCGUGGGGAGCAAACAGG
rnacentral:rRNA from 1 species